rnacentral:lncRNA from 12 species
CUCUCAUCCCAUUUUAUCCCCACGGCUGCCACCCUGGCUGCCAUGGACUGGCCCUCAGACCUCACAGCCAGCCCCACGGUGCGCCGAGGUGGCCAGGGGCAGCAGUUCGGGGUUAGCCAGCCCCAGGGGGACCCCCCACGUUGGGAUUUGUGUCUCCGGAAGAGGAGACCCCAGAGCUGUCCCCCUCUGCCUCCCUCCCUCUGCACCAUGCGAGCGAGCGCAGGGUCACAGGGCUCUUUCACGGUGGACGUCCGGCCUCAGAACCACAAGAAAUAAAUUGCUGUUUAGGCCGCCGGCCGGUGGCACCUUUCCAGCAGCCUGAAUUGGGAGGACGGUGGUGGCUCCUCCCCUGUUUUCUAGCAGGAGCCCUAAAUUCUCUCCAAGUGUAUGAGCUACUUGGUGUUAAUAGGUCCCCGGGUGACUGCGCAGCAACGCACAGUGCAGCAUCUAGCUCCGGCCUGCUUGGGGCAGUGGCAUUCGGGCGUCAGAGGGUUGAAGCUUUAACCCCAGACGUCAGUGCUGAUCUGUUUCCCGCGUGGAAGGCACAGUCGGGGGGCUCAGAGAGGGCCACCUUCCAGACGUGGUGGCCACGGGCCCUGCCGUCUGCUGCGCCGUCCACCGCUGGUCCUUCGCCGACUCCUACCUGCGAGGGUGUCGAGAAUAGGGUGCUUUUCAUGGUAGUUGGAAACCUAAGGAGCACGAGGAUUCGUGAGUUGCCGUGAUUUAGAGACACCCCACCCUGGCAUGGAUCGGGUGACUCGGCCUGCACCUCCUCCGGGGGGAUGUUGGGAGCCGCUGGGUUUAUGGGGGGCCCGGCUGGUGAGAGAGGCUGCGGGCGCCCCAGGGGCGGGAGGACGCCUUGAAGAAAAGGCAGGAAGCCGGUUCCUGUCUUCCCGUUCCCCUUCUCUAGGCCAGGGGCCAGCAACACGGCCUCCAGGCCAAAGCCGGCCCGUGUGACGUUUGAUGGGCCGCAGCCAGCCGCGCCCGUUCACCCACGUGGUCCGUGGCUGCUGCAGACGUGAGCAGGUGUCACGGGCCCCACCCGGCUCCCAGACUGUGGACGUCGGGUCCUGCCCUGAGCCCUCUGAAAUCCUGAUGAGGUGGCAGAGGCCGGUGCUCGUGGCUUUGCUCUGUGAGCUCAGUGUUCGCGGACUCCUGACCCGCCCGCAGGGAGUUCCCGGCAGGCCCAGGAUCGUGUUUCCCCUCUCAGGAAACCAUUUCACCAGGAGGCGCAAAGAAGACAGAGAGGGCAAGGGACUGCGGAGAUGCAUAGUUCCCGAUCUCUCAAGAAGCCGUCGGGGAUGGAGGCCUGGCUGAAGGAACAGGCCUUGGGUGAUCAAUCCCCCAGCUGCCCGGGGUGAUCGACGAGGGGAGUCUGGAAAGGCGUCUCCCCAAAGCCUCCCCAUCAGCCCGGACCGUACCCCCCCACCCCCCCGCUCCCGGGAGGCGUCUAGGGGAUGCGGAGACAAGCCCUGUCACAACAGAACAAAUGUAUAUCCUUGGGGUGGAUUUAGAGACAGACAGGCGUGAGUCAAACCACAGGCAGGAAAUUUCAUUUCCAGACCUCCUUCAAACACUGUUUUCCUGACUCAUUACAUUCAAAGCACAUUUAAUUUUGCAAACAGAGCCGAGAAGCCCUUCCCGCAGUGGCCCAGCCACUCCCCAGGGCCUUGUGUGUCUGUGUCCCGCCCCUAAAGUUCGAAGUUGAACCAGAGCUCUCCGGCCAAGCUGGAUGGAUCAGGGGGCGGAUGGUGUUUUAUUAAUUUUUUAAAAAUAUAUAUAUAUAUUAAAGAUUUUAUUUAUUUAUUCAUGAGAGAGAGAAAGAGAGAGAGAGGCAGAGACACAGGCAGAGGGAGAAGUAGGCUCCAUGCAGGGAGCCCGACGCAGGACUCAAUCCCGGGACCCCAGGAUCACAGCCCGGGCUGAAGGCGGCGCUAAGCCGCUGAGCCACCCAGGGAUCAACUUUUUAAAGAAGUCGCCCAAAGGAAAGGGGUCUUUGCCCUUUGAAGGAAGCGGUAUUUGACGUUUCCAGGUGUCUGGUAGAUGCUGAGCUGGGGCGACCUUGCGCUGAACCCACCGCAAGGGCUUUGGGGCCAACGUGGCUGCAGAGCCUCGUCCCUCGGGUGCCUUGCCGCGGGGGCCGGAGCACCUUGGGCCCGAGUGGGCCCGAGUGGGUCAGUGAAGCCUCCGGAGCAGGGAGUCCCCGACUCCCCCCAACCCCCCGCCUCAGGUCCACGGUCUGGAUGUUUGGCCUUGACCCCUGGGCAGUGGGGCCAGGCCCCCUUAGUUCCAGAAGCUUCCCAGGUGAUUCCACGGU